rnacentral:tRNA from 1 species
AUCAGAGUAGUUUAUUUUAAAAUGUCGGUUUGUGGUGCCGGAGAAGUAAGUUUUUACCUUUGGUA